GCGCCCUUGGCCGAGAGGAUUCAGGCACUCCCAUCCUAGGGGAGCCUACGGGGGUUCGACUCCCUCAGGGCGCGCCA
rnacentral:tRNA from 1 species